rnacentral:rRNA from 1 species
GUUGCAGUUACGAAGCUCGUAGUCGGAUUUCGGAAGGUCCUUAGCAGUCCGCCCCUUCGGGGAGCGGGCUGCUGGCCUCCUAUGUUCCUAACGGUCCUCAUCCGCGAGGGUGGGGAAUCAACCGCUAGGAUCGUUUACUUUGAGGCAAUUAGAGUGUUCUAAGCAGGCGUAACUCGCCUCCGAAUACGUUAGCAUGGGAUAAUGGAAUACGACUUCGGUCUUGUUUCGCUAAUUUCGCUUGGCUGAAGUAAUGAUUGAUAGGGACAGUUGGAUGCAUUAGUAUUUAGUUGUCAGAGGUGAAAUUCUAGGAGUUACUAAAGACUGACCAAUGCGAAAGCAUUUGUCAAGGAUGAUUUCAUUAAUCAAGAACGUCAGUAGGGGGAUCGAAGACGAUGAGAUACCGUCGUAGUCUCUACCGUAAACUAUGCCGACCAGGGAUCCGGAGAGUUUGCAUGGAUGACUCCCCGGGCACCUUGUGAGAAAUCAUAAGUGUUUGGGACUUGUUAGGAGUAUCGUAGCAAGGCUGAAACUUCAAGGAAUUGACGGAA